rnacentral:lncRNA from 1 species
CUUGGAAACAAGCCCACUACAUUUAAAGGGGAGCCCGUAUUUACUUCUGUGCUUAUUCUGUUUCCACAUAUUCUCUCAGAUCUCUUGUGAGGGGAAAGGAUUGAAAGUAACAUAGACACUUAACACGAUGAAAUAUAACAUGGAAUUUUCUGAUUCAGCCUCUGUAAUUACAGUUUAUGCAGGAAGAAGCACUCCCAGGAGAUUCCUGCAGAUAAGCAACAGGAAUGAUGGUGCCUCUUUAUUGCUGUGUGGAAUUGUGGCGUUUUCCAUGUGCUUCAAGGUUUCAGAUAACGAAUCUGGAGGCUGCUUGUGCUGCAUGCACUGCCUGACGUGGGACACCUCCAAGGGGAACCUCUUAGAAGGUACUUUUUCUAUAUGCUGA